UCGGGAAUUUUGGGCAAUGGGCGAAAGCCUGACCCAGCAACGCCGCGUGAAGGAUGAAGUAUUUCGGUAUGUAAACUUCGAAAGAAUAGGAAGAAUAAAUGACGGUACUAUUUAUAAGGUCCGGCUAACUACGUGCCAGCAGCCGCGGUAAUACGUAGGGACCAAGCGUUGUUCGGAUUUACUGGGCGUAAAGGGCGCGUAGGCGGCAAUUCAAGUCAUCUGUGAAAUCUCCGGGCUUAACUCGGAACGGUCAGAUGAUACUGCUUUGCUAGAGUGCAGAAGGGGCAAUCGGAAUUCUUGGUGUAGCGGUGAAAUGCGUAGAUAUCAAGAGGAACACCUGAGGUGAAGACGGGUUGCUGGGCUGACACUGACGCUGAGGCGCGAAAGCCAGGGGAGCAAACGGGAUUAGAUACCACGUAGUCCCUGAGCGGGCUGGCAAGGCGCAU
rnacentral:rRNA from 1 species